CUUCUGAAAUCUCCGAGCUGAGUCUCACAGACAAAAAUAGCUGGAGCUGCAGACUUCUUAAUAGUCUUAAACGGAAAUUGAAUGGGCUCAAUUAAUCAAGUGAACAAACUAUAGGGAAUUACAGAAAAGGCUCAUUCUAUGUUUUCAGGCUAUUAACCUGCACGGCCAUUAUGUCCUGGUAAAAUGUUGUGGUUCGCAAUCCAUGUCUGGCUUCUCUGAGUAUACAUUUCUGUAUUUGUAGAGAAGUGUGUAAAGCUCACGAGCAGCCACGACUUGCAGAUUUGGAAGUACACGCUUGGGCAAACCUCACUGAAGGCAGCUCUUGUUCCACGUGGUCGAGACAAUUCUGUUUGGGAAGGGACUUCAGCUGGCAAUAGGCAAUGUUGGGAUUCUUUCAAGGUUGAAUCUGUCUAGCCAGGACAAGGAGAAAAAGACAAGAGUAGCAUCUCUCAAACACAACUACCAGUGCCUUUCUUCCAGCUGGAAUUACUUAUUCUUGGAGGAACACGUUUCCUUUCAUUCCUUGCUGAGUCUAAGGAAGUUCAUGGCUGUAUUCCCUGUAGAGAAGGCAAUCAAAAUGGCUGUCAUGGAGCACGGGGACAUAAAAUAAAUUGAU
rnacentral:lncRNA from 1 species